UUAAACGUCCAUUACACGUUGAAUACACCGGUUCUCGUCCGAUCACCGAAGUUAAGCAACAUCGGGCACGGUCAGUACUUGGAUGGGUGACCGCCUGGGAACACCGCGUGACGUUGGCU
rnacentral:rRNA from 1 species